AAAAUAUGAUACAUAAUAAAUAUAUAAAAUCAUAUCUUUCGCACAUGUCUCUAACGCGUCGUGUCCUAAAUUUUUUGAAAUUUGCGUGUCCUUGUCCGUGUUGUGUCACGUGUCCGUGUCUGUGUUUCUUAGCAGGCAUACAUGCAGUAGAAUUAAGAAGCAUCGGUCAACAAAAGUGAGAAUGCAGAACAAAUAUAUGAGAUAUGUUUUUGAUCUAAAUGCAUGACCUAUUAAUGAGAAAAACUUUCUACAAAAGAAAUGAAUAUCCACUCUCAGUGUUAACAAUGAUAUUGCUUUAUUCAGUUAUGUUUUCGAUAUUUGUUUUUAGUUGGAAUUUUCUGACGGCUAUCAUGGAAGUUCCUUUCUUUAAGGUCAUUGAUCAUGUUUUUACUUGAUCUCCUUUAGAUGUCUGUAUGGUUUUAAGUAAUGCUUUAUGCCUUCAAUAACAUGCAUCUGUAAAUGCUAUUUUUUAUUAUCUUUUAGCUCCAAAUCAUAGAGGGUGGCUUUAUUAUUGUCUUUGUAUUUCUCUUGUUGAUAUUACUGAAAAUUAUUAGAGCAAAUCAGGUAACAGGGCUGUAUCUUUUUCAAGGUUCAACUACUAGAAAGAGUGCCACCAUUCAUGCAUAUUAAUCAAAAUGAUUUCUGGGGUUGUAAGUCUUUUAUCCUCAUUCUUGUUUCCCUUAUUGAGGAUCUUUCUUUUGCUUGCUGACAACCCAAGCACAACCACAUUUUUUUUCCUCUUUCUUUUUUCUUCCUCUUUCUUUCCUUCAUUGUUUUUUUCUUCUUCAUUUACUUCAUUUCUUUCUCAAUACCCCAUGGCUGAUUCAGCGCAUCACAACCAUUGCCAGGAUAACCAAUCACAUUGGAGCAAAACCCCAUAAACUCAUGCAAAUAAGCCACUGUUUUCUUAACUUCAUUUGGAGCAACACGAUUAUGUUUUUUUUCUUCUUUCUUUGUAUUUAUUGAGUAUGUGCAGCCACAACCCCUGUUUGAUUGAAUAGGCGGUGUUGCGUCUGAGUCGUAGAGUAUGGCAGGAAUUGGAUACUAAAUGAAUCAGAGGCUCAUAAAUUUGCAACUAAAUUCCCUGGGAAGAUGUCACAGAUUUUUUUGUGUUGGAAUUCUUACUUCCUCUUGGUCUUCUGUUUGGCAUCUGACGGUACUACUCCAACACCACUGCCCUGUGGAUCAACUCCACAACCGCACCCACAGACUGUUUGUAUGCUUGAGACAUGCAAACAACGUUUCACCAAAACAAACACAUGUUAAAAAUACAUCAUAAUUCAGAUGAAACAGAAAAUCCAGUACAAAAUUACACAUAAAUUUCUUCAACUUAUGGUUACCUUCAUUCCAUUGGUAAAUGAUAUUUUUGGUUAUGAUUGCCAAGAGAUACUAAACCUUGCAUCAGUCUCUCUUUUUGACCUCUUUUACACAGAGAUGGAGAUGCCGAGGGGAUGACCAGUGGGUGGAACCGCAUACUAUGGCGAUACUGCCCACUUCAACCACCCAAAUUGUGAGACUAGGAAGUGGAUAGUUUUGGGGGAAAUAAGGGUUGGUAUAUUUGUGGAGCAAGAUAUUUCCGUUGAAAAUGAAUUGGCAUAUGAUUAUAAUGUUGAAUGGUAUGGUGGUGCUACGGUUCGAUGUCAGUGUGGGGCACCUAACUGUUCUAAAUUUCUUAGGGCAAAGUCUUCUGCUUUCCUGGUGCAUAAUCAUGUGUUGGAAGACGGCAAUGAAAGGUAAUGGGUUAUGCAUUUAUUACUCAAAAUUUAUAGGCAGUUAUAGUCCUUUUCACCUACGCUUUGUAAUGUUGUAUUGAAACUCAUUUCAAAAUUUGUUACCAAACUUGAUUAUAUAUGUAUGGUAAUUUGUUGAGCACAAAAAGUUGAGGAUUCAUGUUUACCAAAAUGAUCAAUUGCAUAAGGAUUUCAUGAACAAAUUGAAUAUUUAAUUAUAUGCUAGUGUCUCCAUUUUUCCCUUUCCUUUUUGGUGCAAUAGUUGUUGCACUAACUCUCUUUAUUUUAUCAUUUUUACAGGUACCUGUGAGCAAAGAAAAGCAGAAGGUGCUUGUAAAUCAACCUUCAUGCCAAUUAUAGCAACAAACCCCAUUUGGGUGCUCGUGUAUUUCAUUCUCUGAUUGACAUCUUAUCAGUAGUGAUCAUUGUACAUUUUGAGUACAUAAAGCUGCAUUUAAAUCA